AGAGUUUGAUCAUGGCUCAGAGCGAACGCUGGCGGCAGGCCUAAAACAUGCAAGUCGAACGGAUCCUUCGGGAUUAGUGGCGGACGGGUGAGUAACACGUGGGAAACGUGCCUUUUGGUUCGGAACAACUCAGGGAAACUUGAGCUAAUACCGAAUGUGCCCUUCGGGGGAAAGAUUUAUCGCCAUUAGAGCGGCCCGCGUCUGAUUAGCUUGUUGGUGAGGUAAAGGCUCACCAAGGCGACGAUCAGUAGCUGGUCUGAGAGGAUGAUCAGCCACACUGGGACUGAGACACGGCCCAGACUCCUACGGGAGGCAGCAGUUAGGAAUCUUGCGCAAUGGGGAAACCCUGACGCAGCCAUGCAGCGUGAAUGAUGAAGGUCUUAGGAUUGUAAAAUUCUUUCAGCGGGGACGAUAAUGACGGUACCCGCAGAAGAAGCCCCGGCUAACUUCGUG
rnacentral:rRNA from 1 species